rnacentral:snRNA from 1 species
GUGCUCACUUCGGCAGUACAUAUACUAAAAUUGGAACAAUACAUUGAAGAUUAGCAUGGCCCCUGCGCAAGGAUGACGCACAAAUUCAUGAAGCAUUCCGUAUUUUU